UGGCAGUGGACACAGAGACAUGAAAAAGCCUUUUGAUGCUGACUUUUUUCAGCUUUACUCCGCCGAUUCCGCCGCUACUCCUUAAAAUUUAAAAAGGAGGCAUUUUUUUUUUCAUCUUUUCCUUGAUCUUCUCGUUCUUGGUGAAUUUCUUCCGCUGCUCUUGGUAUCUGGAGACCAAACAAUCUGUCACUGCUGGAGAGCUGGCAUUGGUAUUUGGUGGUGGUAUAGAGAGGAAGAGCAAGGGAUCCGCCAUUUCUGGAGUGCUGGGGACUGGUGACCUUUGCUAAACAGAUUGUGCUCAAUUUCUUUCUGGAGAGCUAGGAAUGGUGGUGUCAUAAAGAGGAAAAACUAGCAAUCUGCCAUUAGCAAGAAGCUUGUGCUCAAUCUCUUUAUGAAGAUCUCUACAUUCCCCAAUUUUAUCGUCAUUUCCUUAUUUUGGAUUUCUUCUACUGCUCUUGAUAGCUGGAGAACUGGGACUGGCGGUGGCGUAGAGAGGAAGAACAAGCAAUUUUCCAUUGAGAGCUAGGACUGGUGGUAGCCUAGAGAGGAAAACCAAACAAUCUGCCAUUGCUGGAGAGCUAGGAAGAGCGGUGGUGUAGAGAGGAAAGCAAAGCAAUCUUCAACUGAAAUUUCAUCAGCAGUGGAACAAAUAGUUCUUUCCUAUCUUCAUAGCAUGGCUCAAAGAACAAAUGCUAUCGAUCGCAAUGGAGCCGCUAUCAAGGUUGGAACAAUCGGCACAAUAGGUUCCUUGAUGACUCGAGAGUUAGAAUGCACCAAGCAUUCGGACCAAACAUGCCCUCCAAUGCAGCGAAAACAACAAACAGCGCCGGUGUCCAUACAUUGCGGUGCCAAUUCGAGGAAAACAUUGCAGAAAAGAAAUCAAACUAACGAACAUGGGAGCAGCAGCCGCAAUGACAGUGGUAGCAGCACAGGGCAUGCUAAUGGCGCACCGCGAAGAAACGGGCCCGAGAUUCCGAUGCUAGUAACUGAUGGCAGUCUAGUAGACCAACAUCCGAACACUGAUAAGGCAGAAAAGAAAGCACACUCUUAUAUUGUGGAGGUUGUCGACUUAAAAUGCAGCAAUCCAAUGAGCACACGGUUGAAGAAACUCGGGUUCUCCAAGCUCUCCGAAUCGAUAUCCUAGUUCUCUUAAUCAAUUUGUAAAAGUGAGGUCCUUUGGAGAAAUCAUCAACCUACUUGAUCUUGAUCUUGGCAUCGGAUUGAACUGUUUGCUUCUACAUGGUAAUCGAGAUCUAAACCAUGUUUUUUAUGACAAGCGACCUUAUUUCUGUUGGGCA